rnacentral:rRNA from 1 species
CUUAGUGGCGGACGGGUGAGUAACGCGUGGGGAUUUGCCCUAGAGUGGGGAACAACAUUUGGAAACGAAUGCUAAUACCGCAUACGCCCUUUUGGGGAAAGGCUUCGGCCGCUCUUGGAUGAUCCCGCGUCUGAUUAGCUUGUUGGUAGGGUAAUGGCCUACCAAGGCGACGAUCAGUAGCUGGUCUGAGAGGAUGAUCAGCCACAUUGGGACUGAGACACGGCCCAAACUCCUACGGGAGGCAGCAGUGGGGAAUAUUGGACAAUGGGGGAAACCCUGAUCCAGCAAUGCCGCGUGAGUGAUGAAGGCCUUAGGGUUGUAAAGCUCUUUUACCCGGGAUGAUAAUGACAGUACCGGGAGAAUAAGCUCCGGCUAACUCCGUGCCAGCAGCCGCGGUAAUACGGAGGAUCCAAGCGUUAUCCGGAAUCAUUGGGUUUAAAGGGUCCGUAGGCGGGCAAUUAAGUCAGUGGUGAAAGUCUGUAGCUCAACUAUAGAAUUGCCUUUGAUACUGAUUGUCUUGAGUUAUAGUGAAGUUGCCGGAAUAUGUAGUGUAGCGGUGAAAUGCAUAGAUAUUACUUAGAAUACC